UGUGGUCGAAUCAACGAUGAGAAGGUUUGAAACGCUUCUUGAAUUUUGAAGAAAUUGUGUUUUCAUCCUUUACACCUUCUUGCUUACCCACUGAACGCCAUGUGUUUGUGCCGCCACUGCUCUGGGACUUAUCGCUUGUAAACAAUCCAAUAUUUCAUCGCCUGAGAGAAACGUUGUUGACCCAGUUUUUCCUUUACACGUAGUAAACAUAAUGAAACAAAUACUGAAGAAGGUCACUAUCGCACAUUGCGUUGUUUUAUUUUAUAUCAUUAUCGCAAUUUCACAACGCUUAGUGCUGAACUGGAUUUUAAAACGAAAGCUUGUUUAAAAUGAGUAUUUAAAGUACUGCUUUGGAUGUUUGGAUUUUCGUUAUAGACCCACGAUUCUAAAAUCACUUGGUCUAACAGGGAAUAGAAAACAGAUUAUCCUCCAUGAGCCGGCUGUCCUAACAAGUAAUCGUCAGUUAUUAAUGCCAUGAUAAUAACGUUAUUCAAGACGUAGAUAUCGCAUUAUAGGAACCCUACCGCAAGCGUAACAAGGCGGACCAGGCAGCAACUGAUGUGUCACAUCGACAAUGUCAACUGAUGGCGGACUGCAGUGGUACUGGGUCAUCGUGAUCGUGUUGGCGGUCCUCGCCGUCUCGAGCGUCCUCUGCCUUAUCUGGUGCUGCAAGCGCCCGAAACGCCAUCAGGCAGUCCCGUCUACGCCUCCACCUGAUUCGCCACGACGUUUUUCUCCGCUCCCUUCGUCCCCCGGUAUUUAUCGGCCGUCGUUCAGUAGACAGUGGUCCAAGUGUUCAACGAAAUCGCAAAAGGAAAAGCCUAAGGCGGCUGUACCGUUUAUAGCUGUUGCGUAGUUCGAUUGAAAAAGACGAAAUCAACUCGUAGAACUUUUUAUUUAAAAUUAUCAUCUUUAUCUACAAGAUAUUGUAACAAAACAAACGAUAUGGACGGGACUCUAAUUAGGGAGGCCCCAGUAGUGUAAGAAAACACUCCGUACUCUACAGCUCUCUGGACUCCUGGCUCAACUUUACUACAUACGUCUGAUUAGCCUGGUUAGUUUGAUGUUGACAUAUUAUAUACAUUAGUGCAACUAGUCGACUUCGUCACAAAAGCUCAUGUGUCAUAGGGCAUUAAUAACUAGGGCAUUUAGUUACGUGAGAAAUGUGUUUAUCUUGUUUAAACAUAAUAACUACUGUAUAUCGGCGGGCAGUUAAUCGUUAACUUGAAACCUGUUAAUGUUCGAAUUAUUCUAUUGUACUUAUUUUUAGCCAUUCAGUAUUUCGCGAUUCUUGGGCAGGUGACAUCUGUUAUAAAUUGCUUGACCACUAGUCAAACGUUUCAAAGUGCUACGCUACGUUACUUGACUAUCGUACUCGUGGUGUGUAUACAAUAAGUUGUGGCGCUUUGGCCGCAACAAAUUGACCAGUUGUUCGUCGGAUUAGCCGCAGAUAAAAUUCCUAUACUAAUUUAAUUUUCGUUCAUUUUGUGUGAUCGUCGCAUGGUCCGAAUUCCCUCGCAUGCAAACUUUUUUGAAGCGGGGUUGAUUGUGUGUACUUAGUUUGGUUAAUCCAACAUAUAUUACGUUAAGCACUAAUAAUUUUCGUAAAAAAAACACAUUUGUAUUAUAAAAGGCAGCAUUUACACAUGCAGAAAUGUUCAACAAAUAUGUAUACACUAUUUUUCUUCGCUUUGCCACCGCCUCUGAUUAUAUCGAAACUAUGUUUUAUCUUUAUGCGCUGUUUUGGGUUCAAAAUCCUUCUUACAACUGAUCAUAUUAUUGUGACUGAAAGGAAUGCAGAAGUAACCAUUCUUGUCCGUGUUUUAGACAUAAAGCUUGAUUCAGGAUAUAAAUGCCAUGCAAUGUGUACUUUAAAGAAAUCAUAGCAGAAACCACGCGAAAUAUGUUCAUGUGCAACCGAGAGAAAAUAUAUCAUUAGUAAGAUUGGUGCAUUUCUUCCGUGGAAUUGUCAGCAUGAUUUAUAUCAUUUCACAACUGAGAUUGCUCUGCCUCAAGAAUGCAGACCACGUUUUCUUUAGACCACGUUGUCUAUGUACAAGAAAGCCAUAUCAGAAGGCCUUAACCAUUUUACUUACGUUUCAUCGGUCUUCAAUAGUGUCAUAAUGGUCACAAAUUAGUUUUUAGUUGUAUUUAAAUAAACAUUUUAUGAAGGAAAAAAAUAACAUUUAAAAUUGUCAAAGUUUUUAGAUUUGUUUAAGUGACCACCAAUCAACUAUAUAUUGCGUCAAUUUGACCACCAUUCAAUUUUCAGUUAUGCCACAAAUUCACCACUAGUCAACUUUCAGUUGUGUUGCAAAUUUACCAUUAAUCAAGUUUCAGUUUUGUUAUAAAUUCAUUACCAUUCAACUUUCAGUUAUGUUACAAAUUCACCAACAUAAAACUUUCAGUUGUGUCAAAUUGAUCAGCGUUCAACUUAAGUGUCAAUUGACCACCAGUCAGAUUUAAAUUGUGUUCAGAUAACGGUUGUGUAUAAGGUUUAUAUGUUUUCCAAAUAGACGUUGUUUGGUACUGAAUAAUGGCCCAAAAAGUAUUGCCUAAAUUGCUGACAGUAAGUUUUGAAUUAUGUCUAAAAUGGUAACUAUAUCUCUAUUACUUGUGUCCUAACGUACAUUAUGGUAUUCGUUAUUGUCUAAAUGACCCAAUAGUCACUUGGGAGUUUUGUCGAAUUUGCCAGUAUUAAAAUGACCACCUGGCCAGAAUAUCACGAUCCGUCCAAUAUAACACUGGCCUUGUCAUCUUCAUAUUGUUGCAUAGUGGAGAAAUGAAACAGUAGCCUUAUACAUAGCACCCGUGUUGAGCAAUGCAAUAAAAAGUAUUAAUAUACUUGUUAGUGUGAACAAUUAUACGCAUUUCUUGCAUGCAAUAAGCCUAUUUCAACGGGACCUAUGGCAAAACUAUCGCAUGUGUUCUGUUAAAAGAUUGAUAGUAUAUCGAUAUAUCAGAUAGUUUCUAUAUUCACAAUCUUUUAUAUCGCUGCCGCAUGUACCAGAGCCUCCAUUUUGGUGUUGUCGCUUUUCUCAGAAAAGAAAUUUAAAUGUGUAUAAGCGUAUUAUUAUGUAUUUGUUUUACAUGCCAUUUAUUAUAACCAAGGUUUGUUUUAGCGUCCUUGGCGUCUGACUAAGUGAUUUGUCAAUUUUGUUGACACGAGAAGUUUAGCUUGUAGAUUGUCCCCAGAAAAACAAGAAGAGUUUGUAUUUUCUUUCAUUUGUAUUGCCUAUGUUUAUAUGUAUGUUACAAUCCAUGAUAGUUUUCAGUAAGCUGUAUUUUACGGAUUUUGAGUACAGAUAGUCGUUCUCAUUUUUCUUUUCGAAAUACAUUUGUAAUUUGUAUUCAAUAUUUUAAAUUACAAUAUAACGCUUUAUUGAAUCUUGACAUUUUCUAGACCAUUUAUGUAAACGUUACAAAGAUUAUCACAUGUUUUUGACCGUCAUAUUGUGCAUUACUUUUUUGAUUGCGAAUUUGUCAGUUCACGUAUUUUUAUGUGAAUAAAAACACUCAGUUUUAAUGUAAACUUUUAAUUUAUAUAAGUUUGCGUAUGUCAGAUUAUCAUUUUGGCUCAGGACAAUCCGCUUUGAAUGUUAGAGCUAUGCAUAUGAACAUAUUGAUAAAACCAUUUAUAUGUAUAUUUGCAUUACCGGUGAAUAUGUAUAUUGAUUUUCAAUGAUAAAUAAAAAAUAGAAAAAUGUUCAAA